GAGCUAGAUACAGAGUGCCGACUGGUGUAU
rnacentral:piRNA from 1 species